rnacentral:rRNA from 1 species
UGGGGAAUAUUGGGCAAUGGGCGAAAGCCUGACCCAGCAACGCCGCGUGAAGGAAGAAGGUCUUCGGAUUGUAAACUUCUUUUAUGAGGGACGAAGGACGUGACGGUACCUCAUGAAUAAGCCACGGCUAACUACGUGCCAGCAGCCGCGGUAAUACGUAGGUGGCAAGCGUUAUCCGGAUUUACUGGGUGUAAAGGGCGCGUAGGCGGGGAUGCAAGUCAGAUGUGAAAUCUAUGGGCUUAACUCAUAAACUGCAUUUGAAACUGUAUCUCUUGAGUGCUGGAGAGGUAGAUGGAAUUCCUUGUGUAGCGGUGAAAUGCGUAGAUAUAAGGAAGAACACCAGUGGCGAAGGCGAUCUACUGGACAGUAACUGACGCUGAGGCGCGAAAGCGUGGGGAGCAAACAGG